rnacentral:tRNA from 2 species
GUUUUUAUAGUUGAAUUACAACGUGGAUUUUUCAUGUCCUUGGUUUUGGAUACAUCCAAAUAAGAAUA